rnacentral:rRNA from 1 species
AUCCAGACUCCUACGGGAGGCAGCAGUGGGGAAUAUUGGUCAAUGGGGGAAACCCUGAACCAGCAACGCCGCGUGAGGGAAGACGGUUUUCGGAUUGUAAACCUCUGUCCUCUGUGAAGAUGAUGACGGUAGCAGAGGAGGAAGCUCCGGCUAACUACGUGCCAGCAGCCGCGGUAAUACGUAGGGGGCAAGCGUUAUCCGGAUUUACUGGGUGUAAAGGGAGCGUAGACGGCAGCGCAAGUCUGGAGUGAAAUGCCGGGGCCCAACCCCGGAACUGCUUUGGAAACUGUGCAGCUCGAGUGCAGGAGAGGUAAGCGGAAUUCCUAGUGUAGCGGUGAAAUGCGUAGAUAUUAGGAGGAACACCAGUGGCGAAGGCGGCUUACUGGACUGUAACUGCCGUUGAGGCGCGAAAGCGUGGGGAGCAAACAGGAUUAGAUACCCGCGUAAG